AGCUCCAAUAGCGUAUAUUAAAGUUGCUGCGGUUAAAAAGCUCGUAGUUGGAUCUCAGUCUCGAUCGGACGGUCCAUCUUGCGAUGGCACUGUUCGCAUCGGACAUGAAGCCGCAUUUGUGUGUAUGCUCUUAGCUGAGUGUGCAUGCAGGGUGGUACGUUUACUUUGAAAAAAUUAGAGUGCUCAAAGCAGGCGCGGGCCUGAAUCUUCGUGCAUGGAAUGAUGGAAUAGGGCCUCGGUCCUAUUUUGUUGGUUCUCGGGACUCGAGGUAAUGAUUAAGAGGAACGGACGGGGGCAUUCGUAUUGCGACGUUAGAGGUGAAAUUCUUAGAUCGUCGCAAGACGGACUACUGCGAAAGCAUUUGCCAAGAAUGUUUUCA
rnacentral:rRNA from 1 species